CCUACGGGACGCAGCAGUGAGGAAUAUUGGUCAAUGGGCGAGAGCCUGAACCAGCCAAGUCGCGUGAGGGAGUACUGCCCUAUGGGUUGUAAACCUCUUUUGUCGGGGAGCAAAAGCCGGACGUGUCCGGCUGUGAGAGUACCCGAAGAAAAAGCCACGGCUAACUCCGUGCCAGCAGCCGCGGUAAUACGGAGGAUGCGAGCGUUAUCCGGUUUUAUUGGGUUUUAAGGGUGCGGAGGCGGGUUUUUAAGU
rnacentral:rRNA from 1 species